GAGCAUGCACAUUUACAAACAAACAAAAAAGCACUCCGGCCCAACACUUCAGAGUUAAGGUAGAUGGUGUCUUUUCCACCCAGAAGGCACCAGAUGUAUCAUCAUCUGCUAGAACUUGCUGCCAUCGUAACCGCGCUGUUGAUGCUAUUUUGUCUUCAACUGUCGGCCGUCGAAAUUGGUGGUAACCCGCAUGCAGGAGACCCUGAUCAAAAGCCUCCAGUUUUUAAUCCUCCAGGCAGGAGGCCCUGAUCAAUUUCUCGCUUCAGAUAUGGAAACCGUAGUAGAUGGGGCAAUUGACACUGGAGUCUAUCUUAGCUACCAGUCUAUUGUACAUUUUUCUUAGAUGUUCACGAGAUGCCUUAAAUGCGUGAAGUGUGAAGUAGGUGACCAGGAAGUCGUGUAUCGAGUCUAGCUUACUGGUAAGAUUUCUUGCUGUGGAAUCUUCAGUGAUGGCUGAUGUGUUGAUUAAUAGCAAGAAGUUUAUGGAGUGGUAACGGAUCA